GAACUCAGCAACUAUGAUCAGCUUAUCAGAGAACUGCGCAUGGGGCAUGUGUUCGAUGGAUGGAAAGAAGGGAUACUAGAUUUCCCGCCAACUUAUAAAUAUGAAUUCAACUCAGAUCGAUACAUCGGAGAAAUCCAGAAAGAAGGAGAGAAGAGAAGGUCUCCAGCAUGGUGUGAUCGGAUAUUAUGGCUGGGAAAAGGAAUUAAACAAUUGUGUUAUAAGAAUGCAGAUAUAAGGCUUUCAGAUCAUAGGCCAGUGAGUUCAGUGUUCCAAGUUGAAGUUGAAGUGUUGGAUCAUAGAAAACUACAGAGAGCUCUCAACUACACAAAUACAGCAGCUAUUCAUCCUGAGAUUUUUGCUGAUGAAAAUGGGGAGUAUGAUUUAGACUUCUAGC
rnacentral:misc_RNA from 1 species